rnacentral:rRNA from 1 species
CGAAGGAUCCUAGCGUUGUCCGGAUUUACUGGGUUUAAAGGGUGCGUAGGCGGACUUUUAAGUCAGUGGUGAAAGCUUGCAGCUUAACUGUAAAAUUGCCAUUGAAACUGAAAGUCUCGAGUACGGUUGAGGUCACUGGAAUGUAUCAUGUAGCGGUGAAAUGCUUAGAUAUGAUACAGAACACCUAUUGCGAAGGCAGGUGACUAAACCGUAACUGACGCUGAGGCACGAAAGCGUGGGGAUCAAACAGGAUUAGAUACCCUGGUAGUCCACGCCCUAAACUUUGCAUACUCGGCCUUAGCGAUAUACUGUUAGGACCCAAGCGAAAGCGUUAAGUAUGCCACCUGGGAAGUACGAUCGCAAGAUUG